AGGGUUUCUCAUUCUCAUACCAUUCUAUCCGCCCCCAUCGAGCUGCUUUAUCUCCGGGCGAUUCAAAAGGAGAUCUAGGGUUUCUCUUGGCGAUGCAAGAUCUGGUUUUCUCAAUGACACCAGAUCAGCGAAUCUCUCUCUAUACGACACCCAAUCGACUGAGUUUGAAGGUGGUGGAGGGUUUGGAUCUGCCAAUCAGUGACGUAUGAGCAAGGGGGUGUUUGGUCUGCCAAUCGGUGAUGUAUGAGCAAGAUUUCACAAGAUCUAAAGACGGAGUGGUGUGUAGCGUUAAAUCCGACGACUACGGUUCCGGUGGUAUAAUUCUCAAGCCGAUCGGUGGCAAUAGAGACGAGUUCCGGUUUUAGAUGGUGGUUGAGGUAGGUUCCGACAAACUGAGUUGCAGAUCUAGGUUUCACCAGUUGGCGUAGGCGAUACUGCAUCAUCAAAAUGGAUGGUUACUGAAUGGAGAUCCCUAAAGGAACUUACAUUGUUCUCAGAUCUCAGUUUGGGAUGGAUUUUUAGUUUAAAUGAGUCAUUUUGUUUAACUGGUUAUAAUUUGCGGGUAUUUGAAUUAAAAGGACAUAUUUGUGAUGAAAAGGGUGGUAUAAAUUAUCAGUUGAGACAAAAUGGGUGGUAUAAGUGUUUGGAUGGAAAUUGAAGUUUUUUCAGCUAAGGUUAGAGAAACGGGUAAAUAACUAAAUACAGUUUACUCUUAAGGUGUUCAGCUUAAUUGUAGCUCAUAUGAAUCACAUAAGUGUUUAUCCAAGCAUUAAAAACUUAUUAUUGCAAUUUCAGAAUUUUAAGAAGCACUCCUUUAGAUUUGCAAUAUGAUUCACUUUGGAACUGCUAUUGAAGGUCUUUAUGUUAUGGAAUUUAUUUUGUUACAUAUGACAGAUACUACGCCCACAAACGGAGGUACCAGAUCUGGUGGUGAUGGCAGCUGGGUUUUGCCGCAGGCGGUAUAGGCAUUUGUUCACACCCGAAUUGUACUGGUUGACUAACAAAGAAUGAUUUGUUUUUUGUUUUUUUAAUAAUAUUUUUUGAAAUGAAAUUGGCGAGUUGGGUAAAGGGUCAAAACAGGUGCGGGUUUAAAUGGGUCAUUUUAAACUACUUGUUGAAACUGGCUGGGUCAAUCACACUGGGUUUGGUUGACCCGUGGUAAACGCAUACCAUCCACCUUAAAAAAUAGUAAAUGACCAAAAUUGAAACAAUGUUAAGUUGUUAACAAUCGGUUCUUUAGUUAGGUUGCAUAAUGUGCUAUUUUUACAGUCUGAUCAAAACACGAAGAGCCUAAAGGCAGAGCUCAGAGCCAUUUUUCCGGAACUAGAAGAAAUGAGGAAGAGGAAAUCCGAAAGAAAGAAUCUGUUCAUCGAAGUUUUAGAACAGAUACAAAGAUACAAAUGGAAAUUUACACAACUUCUGCUAAGACACUCUUGGAUGAAACUGAUUUAUCAUUAAGAAAAAUUGAAGAACUUCAUGUGCAGUUACAAGCACUUGAGAAACAGAAGAGUGAUCGAAUUAAGAAAGUUCUACCACAUGAACACGUUGAAUUCACUGUGUUUGGUGCUUCGAAUGGACUCUAAUCAGAUGGUUCAUGAAACUAAUCCUGGUUUAGCAUAAACCGAAGGAACAAAGAUUCUAAGUAACGAUGCGAUCAUGAGUCUCGCUGCUGCUAUACGGAAAUUGCAUGAGGUCAAAAUUGAGAGAAUGCCAUGAGUAGGUUCAUGGAAAGAAAACAAUUAAAAACAUCCAUCAAGAUAUUGAAAUGAUCCAUGGGAAGUAUGUACCCUAUCAGUUCUUGGUGUACUGGUUGCUUAUUAUGUAUGUAAUAAAUCAAGCUUGCAGAUAUUCAUAACUAAAUUUCAGU